rnacentral:rRNA from 1 species
AGAGUUUGAUCAUGGCUCAGGACGAACGCUGGCGGUGCGCCUUAUGCAUGCAAGUCGAGCGAAGCUUUUCAGUAGUUUACUACUGAAAAUGACUGAGCGGCGAACGGGUGAGUAACGCGUGAGCAACCUACCUUAGUUACUGGGAUAGCCCGAGGAAACUCGGAUUAAUACCGGAUAUUCUUAUUUAAUCACAUGAUUUUUUAAGGAAAGGUCAGCCGAACUAAGAUGGGCUCGCGUUCUAUCAGCUAGUUGGUAGGGUAAUGGCCUACCAAGGCUACGACGGAUAGCUGGUCUGAGAGGACGAUCAGCCACACUGGGACUGAGACACGGCCCAGACUCCUACGGGAGGCUGCAGCAGGGAAUAUUGCGCAAUGAGCGAAAGCUUGACGCAGCGACACCGCGUGUGGGAUGACGGAUCUAGGUUUGUAAACCACUUUCAGGAGGGAAGAAAAUGACGGUACCUCCACAAGAAGCCCCGGCCAACUACGUGCCAGCAGCCGCGGUAAUACGUAGGGGGCGAGCGUUGUCCGGAUUUAUGGGGCGUAAAGAGCUCGUAGGCGGNUCAACAAGUCGGUCGUGAAAGUUCAGGGCUCAACCCUGAAAUGUCGAUCGAUACUG